AAAUUGAAGAGUUUGAUCAUGGCUCAGAUUGAACGCUGGCGGCAGGCCUAACACAUGCAAGUCGAACGGUAACAGGAAGCAGCUUGCUGCUUCGCUGACGAGUGGCGGACGGGUGAGUAAUG
rnacentral:rRNA from 2 species